rnacentral:tRNA from 1 species
CAGUAAAUAGUUUAUAUAAAAUAUUAAUUUUGGAGAUUAAAGAAGAGUUAUGGCUUUUUACUGA